UCCGGUUUAACACCGGCAGUCUCCCUAGAGUGCCCAACUGAAUGAUGGCAACUAGAGGCGAGGGUUGCGCUCGUUGCGGGACUUAACCCAACAUCUCACGACACGAGCUGACGACAGCCAUGCAGCACCUGUGCUAGCCCCUUACGGACACCGGCUUUCACCGGCUUUAACUAGCAUGUCAAGCCUAGGUAAGGUUCUUCGCGUUGCAUCGAAUUAAGCCACAUGCUCCGCCGCUUGUGCGGGCCCCCGUCAAUUCCUUUGAGUUUCAACCUUGCGGUCGUACUCCCCAGGCGGGGCACUUAACGCGUAAGCUGCGACACGGAAGGGGCCGAUCCCCCCCGCAUCCAGUGCCCAUCGUUUACCGCGUGGACUAC
rnacentral:misc_RNA from 1 species